rnacentral:sRNA from 1 species
GUAUGGUGUGACUGUAGUGAAGUUAGCACUUAGUGGUAUCAUUUCUGGCUUGAGCAAAUGGUUUUUUGAUGUAUUAUUAACUGAGAUGGAAAACAUGAAGCAAAGCAGGUUUAUUUAAGAUGAUGGGCAAGCUUGGUAUACCUGUUGGACAACUGAAUGAAACUAUCUGGUAGUAAGGGAAACAUGCAAUUUUCAUUGUGAGCUGCCUUCCAGAGUUUAUGGUAGAACUUCACUGACGUUGCUGAUGCCAAUGUGGAAUAAAGUAUCUGGAGUCCAUCUUUCACCAUCUUCUCCUGAGAUUGUACUGGACCGUGAUCACUCUUCUUCCAUUGGCUGCCUCUCUUCUGAUGCCAUUAUUUCAUCACCAGAGAAUACACAUGCAGAGAAUAGCAUUAUUCAGCAAUCAACACACACUCAUCUGGAUAUCUCACUUUUUCCAUUGGGUUUAACUGAUGAAAAAAGUAAUGGAACAAUUGCCCUUGUGGAUGAUUCUGAGGAUCCUGGAGCCAAUGUAUCUAACAUAGAGCUUCAGCAAAAAAUUUCAAGUCUGGAGAUUAAACUCAAAGUAUCUGAAGAAGAAAAACAGAGGAUUAAACAGGAUGUGGAAUCAUUGAUGGAAAAGCAUAAUGUCUUAGAAAAAGGCUUUCUAAAAGAAAAAGAGCAAGAGGCCAUUUCUUUUCAAGAUAGAUACAAAGAACUUCAGGAAAAACAUAAACAAGAAUUGGAAGACAUGAGGAAAGCUGGUCACGAAGCCCUCAGCAUUAUUGUGGAUGAAUAUAAGGCACUACUGCAGUCUUCAGUUAAGCAACAAGUAGAAGCUAUUGAAAAACAGUACAUUUCUGCAAUUGAGAAACAGGCACACAAGUGUGAGGAGUUGCUAAAUGCUCAGCAUCAGAGGCUCCUUGAAAUGCUAGAUACAGAGAAGGAACUGUUAAAAGAAAAAAUAAAGGAAGCUUUGAUUCAGCAAUCUCAAGAACAGAAGGUAAUA